rnacentral:rRNA from 1 species
UACGUAGGUGGCAAGCGUUGUCCGGAAUUAUUGGGCGUAAAGCGCGCGCAGGCGGUCCUUUAAGUCUGAUGUGAAAUCCCACGGCUCAACCGUGGAAGGUCAUUGGAAACUGGGGGACUUGAGUACAGAAGAGGAAAGUGGAAUUCCAAGUGUAGCGGUGAAAUGCGUAGAGAUUUGGAGGAGCACCAGUGGCGAAGGCGACUUUCUGGUCUGUAACUGACGCUGAGGCGCGAAAGCGUGGGGAGCAAACAGG